GAUGAACGCUGGCGGCGUGCCUAAUACAUGCAAGUCGAGCGAACGGACGAGAAGCUUGCUUCUCUGAUGUUAGCGGCGGACGGGUGAGUAACACGUGGAUAACCUACCUAUAAGACUGGGAUAACUUCGGGAAACCGGAGCUAAUACCGGAUAAUAUUUUGAACCGCAUGGUUCAAAAGUGAAAGACGGUCUUGCUGUCACUUAUAGAUGGAUACGCGCUGCAUUAGCUAGUUGGUAAGGUAACGGCUUACCAAGGCAACGAUGCAUAGCCGACCUGAGAGAGUGGUCGGCCACAUUGGAACUGGACCGGCGUCCAUGCUACUACGGGAGGCAGCAGUCGGGAACGGUACGCAAUGGGCGAAAGCCUGACGGAGCAACGCCGCGUGAGUGGUGAAGGUCUUCGGAUCGUAAAACUCUGUUAUUAGGGAAGAACAUAUGUGUAAGUAAAUGUGGACAUCUUGACGGUACCGAAUAAGAAAGCACCGGCUAACUACGUG
rnacentral:rRNA from 1 species